AUCUAGACUACAGUACCUCUACUAGUGGACUAAAGUUAAAUACAAAGAUGAGGUGCAAUUUUACUCUUCUCUAUUUCUUUGUGAUUUAUAUGCUAAGUGACCACAGAGCUCUGUGUGACUACGUGGUUGAAGUAAAUCUCAGGUCUUACAACAACCCAGAGAGUAGAGCAGCUGGUAACAAUGGAGAAUGUUGUGAUCCAGCAGCUGAAAACAGUGAUCUUUCGAAUGAUGGAAUAUGUACUGAAAAUGAGCUCUGUGAUAACUUCUUCACAUUCUGUUUGCGUCCAUUCAGUACUCCACCUACAGAAACAAGUGGAUGCAUCACACAGCCGAUGGGUACUACAAACAUUGUCUUGAAUGAUGAUUCUCUUGAGUUCACCUCAACUGGACUUAAUAUAAUAACACUGACAGUUGUUGAUCGACUUUUGAAUGGUAUCCAGCUGUAUGUAGGAGUGGUAGAUAGCGAUUCUCAGGAAAAUGAUUCCGAUGAUCUUGUUGAUAUAAUUACAGUCCAACUACGCAGCGACGUUCUCAACAGUGCUGGCUUAACGCUGACUAACGUAUCAGGAAUUCACAAUUAUGGAAAGAUGAGUCUAACUGUUAGAGUGCACUGUGCACAAUUUUACCGUGGAGAGAACAAUGUCAGUUCGUUGAUGUGUGUGAACGUGAUAGCAUCAUGUGCAGUGCAUGGAAGUGGCAUGUGUGUUAAGAUGAGGAACAGCUAUACCUGUGUCUGUAAUGGUGGCUUCACAGGAGAAAUUGUGAGUUGAUAGACUAUUGCUUUGAACAGUCUUGUAAUGGAAAUGGAAUAUGCAUCAACGAAGAAUCAUCAUUCAUUUGCAAUUGCAAUCUUGGCUAUACUGGGAUCGAUUGUGGGAUAAACAUAGAUGAUUGUGAAGAUGAGAAUUGUAGUGGUAAUGGCCGCUGUAUUGAUGAAGUCAACUCUUAUCGUUGCGAGUGUGCACCAGGUUUUUCUGGGUCAAACUGUGAGACAAAUAUUGACGAAUGUGAUGGCCAGAACUGCAGUGAUGAAGGACUGUGUAUGGAUGGAAUCAACUCGUACACU